CCUAGAUGAACCAGCGCCACUUCUUUCUCUUCUCCUUCUCUCUCUCUCCUCGACGCAAAUAGCAAUUCACAGAGGCCCUUUUCGCUCAUACGGACCAUGCAUGGUCGUUUUGGGGAAGGAAAAUUAAUGCUCGUCCUUCCCGUCAAGUCUCAACCGUCGUGAGGUGAGCUUUCCUUUUCUUUUUCUGCUUUUCAUCUGAAAUCCCUUAAUGGGAUUUGUCCAAUUGCGAAUUUGAAUGCUUGAUUGUGAUUGGCCGUUCAAUAUUGGAGGCAUUUUUCCCUCCAUUUCUACGGGCCUCACAACAAAAAAAGGGGAAGGGGAUCUAGGGUUUUCGGGGUUCUAUAUAAAGAACCCCAUCCCAGUGUUAAAGGAGGUUCUGGAGACCAAAAUUACGAAUUGAGUCCUUUGGUUUAAAACUUAGUCCCGUUUAAUUAAAGAGUCACUUUAAGCAGAAUUUCUACCGAGUUUGGUUUGAUUUCUCAGUUUUAAAAUUUCUUCCUUUUCGUUGUGUUUGAGUAUAUUGAGGGUCUUGGAAGGAAUUUCACUUCCAUUUCUCGGUGAGGGUUGCACUCGAAAAGAUCCGAGCGUCGUUCGCGUUCGAGCGUAGAUCCGAAACCCCCGCACCCCUGUUCACUGCCUCCGAAAAAGCGAGUCUAACAGCUGUCGCCGCCGUUGCCGUCGAAUCUAACCCUAGGGUUUUGGAUUGUUAACAACUCAUUUGAUUUUUGUAUGGAUUUGUGUUGAUUUGAAUGGAUACGACGGUCUUCUUCAUCAAUGGCAGAGUUGUCGUCUUCCUUUCCAUCUUCUACGGUAAGUUCUAAUCGCCGCCGCCACACACUGAUUGGAAAAGGAGUAAGUCGGUAAGGCCCAAAUCUGACCGAAAAUACACUGUAUUUUCCAAAUAUGACCGGAAAAUACACUGUAUUGUUGUAUACAUACAAUAUUUUUUGUAUUGUUCGUCAGAGAUCUAAAGUGUAUUUUAUGUUUUUCUCCUGUAUUUCGAAGGAAAUCUUUUUGUAUACAAAUGAAUACCGUGAAUUUGAAGUGUAUUUUUAUUUCUUGUAUCUUAAAUCUGAGUGUAUUUAUUUCUUAUAUCUCA